UAGAGCAUCCUGAAGGAAAUGUCAGUGGGUAGGUUGUAUUUGCCCAUUGGCUCCCCAGGGGAACGGUGACGAUUUUUCUGUGCAAUUCCCGAAAGUCACCUCGAAAAUCAUGGGAUACCCCCAAGACGGGCCUUGCAAAGAAAAGUUCAGAUGCCACAUGAGGGUAGCCAGUGUGUCCAGCCAGUGUCCUACGCCAUGAAAACACACAAGGAGCCACUGAGGAAUAUGGGAGAAGUAGCACCGCGGCUCUUCUGUAGAACCCCGUGAAGGAAACAUGCUGGGUGUGGCAAGUGAGCGUUUCGCAAUUGGCACACGACACGGUUAUGAUUCUUCUGCUAAGAAAUAUCGCGGAGGGAAGGGCAGGCAAAGAAUAUGUGGCCUCCGUGUGGGAAGAGGUCUGCAAACUCUCUACAGGCCAUCUCUGAAUGUCCCCAGGCCGUAGAUGUACGCGAUGUAGGUUUGUCCGUGAACAUUUGACGGGAUAAAGGGAUAAACCUUGGAACUGAAUGGUUUGAGGACAGUGGGGCCAGUUUAAGGACAGCAGGUGGCUAAGCCGAUGAGGGUUGCCCGUGUUUCCUGUCCUCCGUGUGAAAUGCUGAAAUGGGUCUUGUCUGUGUCGUGUGCCAGGAGCACGUGGCCAUAUUAAUGUCCGCCCAGACAAAAGAAGGAGAAUGGAUGCAAACGCUUCACCAGGAUACAUUGACACACCAUUUCUUUCCCCCAAUGGCUUUUAUCUGGGAGUUCUUAAAAGCCAGAUUGCCAAAAAGUUCAUCAUCAUCAAACAAAACAACGUUCAUUUUGUCGAUGUGAGAAAAACACCAUUGAUCCCUUUCGAACAAGUUGGUGCAUUCACUUGAUUUUCUUCCCCACCCCACAGUUUAUUCUGUAGGCACAAAAUCGUCACAGGAUCGCUCAGAGUAGAGUCAGAGGCCAAGGCUUCUGUGCAAGUCAUUUACUGAGGGAUGAAGGGCCAGGAACACAAGUUCAGGAAGUGUGGGGGGGUUGAGCUGAGAAGGAGGCAAAGCCAAUUUGAGGACACGUUAGUGCAUUAGCCAUCAGUGCUGGCAACUGGAGCUGGACCUGCA
rnacentral:lncRNA from 12 species